GACGAACGCUGGCGGCGUGCUUAACACAUGCAAGUCGAACGAAGAGCGAUGGAAGCUUGCUUCUAUCAAUCUUAGUGGCGAACGGGUGAGUAACGCGUAAUCAACCUGCCCUUCAGAGGGGGACAACAGUUGGAAACGACUGCUAAUACCGCAUACGAUCUAAUCUCGGCAUCGAGGAUAGAUGAAAGGUGGCCUCUAUAUGUAAGCUAUCACUGAAGGAGGGGAUUGCGUCUGAUUAGCUAGUUGGAGGGGUAACGGCCCACCAAGGCGAUGAUCAGUAGCCGGUCUGAGAGGAUGAACGGCCACAUUGGGACUGAGACACGGCCCAGACUCCUACGGGAGGCAGCAGUGGGGAAUCUUCCGCAAUGGACGAAAGUCUGACGGAGCAACGCCGCGUGAGUGAUGACGGCCUUCGGGUUGUAAAGCUCUGUUAAUCGGGACGAAAGGCCUUCUUGCGAAUAGUGAGAAGGAUUGACGGUACCGGAAUAGAAAGCCACGGCUAACUACGUGCCAGCAGCCGCGGUAAUACGUAGGUGGCAAGCGUUGUCCGGAAUUAUUGGGCGUAAAGCGCGCGCAGGCGGAUAGGUCAGUCUGUCUUAAAAGUUCGGGGCUUAACCCC
rnacentral:rRNA from 1 species